CGAAGUCUCUUCCAACCCAUCCAAAGUUUCCAGCCUCUCUGUGUCUUCAUUGUCUCACUUUGCGUUUUCAGCGCUGUACGUUGCCAAUAGCGAUCUGGGAGCUGAGAUUCUAGCAUUUGCCUCGCAUUUUUCGUAAGGCUUCUGCAUUCAGAUGUUCCUACAACCAAUUGUAUAGCCCAUUACUAUUUACUUUGAUGCAUUGUUAGUAAUCAUGUAUACGAUUGCCACCCACUUCUAACAACUAUUAUUGCAUAAAAAUGUCAUCUUGAGGCGUGUAACAUUGUAUUUAAUUUAUUAUAGGUUACUGGGUCAAUCUUAUUUGUGGUGCCUGAUCCAAUCAAUGCACAACAGUUGUAGGGUUGUUACUAGCGGUUGUGGUUGCAAUGGCAUAUCCAUGGGAAUGUGUCGAACUGGUUUCUCUGUGUUACGUGUGGUUGCAUUCAUCUGCAAACAAAAGGUUUUCUAGAUUCUACUGUAUUAUGUGUUGAGAAGAUUGUUUGGUCAGUGCAAUGAUAACAUGUAUACAGAAAAAAGAACAAGAAUGAAGUGAUGUUUUUGAAGCUUAUGUUUUUCAAGAGAAAUUCUGAGGAAAAUGUUGAAUUAUUUUGUUCCCUGUUGUCUCUUUUCCCUUAUUUUUACUAACUAAACUAGGGAAAGUAAUUCAUCUAAAAUUCUCUUUUAUUUUUAUUUUUUAUUAGCUAACAAAUGCAAUGGAAUUGGUUGAUUUGUUAAUACUCUGAUUCAUGUUAGAGCUUAAAGAGAAGGAAGCAUUGGUUAUAGCUCAUUAUUAUUUAUGUGCAAUUUGUUUUUGGUUUGAAGACACCAUUGUUUAUAUAAUUCUCUUUUCUUUAUGGCCUAUGAUGCGUCAAUUUUGUCCGUACCAUCUGAGAUACUCAUUGAUGUGACAAACUUUCGCCUUUUCUGAGGCCUUCCUCUUGUAUUUUGUUUUCUUUCUUCUUUUUGAAGUUUUCUCAGUUCUUGCUCUCUUGUUUUUAUCCCUUAAAACGAAUUUAACUGCAUAUUGUAUUGAUGCUUUUAUUGAACUUCUUUUCGCAGGUAUUUUUCAUUUAGUUGUUUGCUUUGUUAGAAAAUGUAUUAUGGUGGCUGUUAAUAGGUGUUGAAUGUAGUAAGGCAACAAAUUAGAGUCUCUGGUGCGCUUUUUGAUAGUGUUGUCAGUGCUGUACGUUGCCAAUACUGAUUUGGGAGUUGAUGUUAUUGCAUUUGCCUCAUCUUAGGCUAGUGCAUUCAGAUGUUCCUACAGUUGUUUGAUGUUAUUUACUUUUUUUUUUUUCUUUUUUCUUUUUAAGUUUUUUUGAUGAUGAUUGUGAUGGAUGCACGUUGAUUACUAUGUGUUUGUGCAAAUGGCAUGUGCAGGCCUCUGUGAUUGUCAAUUUUCAUCUGUUAAUAUAUUUAAUAUAACCUUCUGCGAGUUGUGCUGUCGGUAUGCAUGGUUCUGUGUGGCCCUUCGUGUUUGUGAGAUGCAUCACUUCUUGGGGCAUUGCACUGAGUAUUUUGUUUUCAUUAUGUAUUGGCACUUGUAAAUUCAUUUUUCAGCUUGCAGUUUGCAGCUGAACUUUUCAAACAAUAGGUUUCCAUUGGCAUUUGCUUACAAAAUAAAGUUGCAGGUCCAUUGCAACCACAUAAUAUUGACCCAGUAUCCUAUAAUAGAUUAGAUAAUAUUGUUUCACGACUCAAGCUAGUCAUUGUAUCAUAAUUUUUAUCGACUUUGAUAUUAUAUCGGUAUGGUUAUCAAUAUUGUUAUUUUCGUUAUUACUGUCACUAAUAGUGUCAUUGUCUGUAUACAGUGUAGAGAAUUAAUGGUAAUUUAAUUGAGGGUAUUUCUGAAAUGAUGAUCAAUGUUUAAUCCCAGCUCAUUAUGAGACCUUGAGAUAUCAAGGUCCGGGAAUGGAUCUAUAAACAUGUAUCUGAUUCGCAAACUAUUUAUAUCAUUGUAUUUUUGUUUGUGUUUUAAUGUUUAUGGGCAUUUGUUAACAAACUUGGUUCACUCUAUCCAUAGCUACCCAACACUUGAUGAGGCUUUCA